CUUCAAUAAGGCAAUUUUCAUUUCGUCAUCAUCACUUUAGUUCACAAUGUUUUCUAAGGCUCUUACGAAUCGAAUUCACAAGUUUCAUUGAGAUGCAUCCAACUGCAAAAAUUUGGUUUCAGCCAAAUUGUUGUGUAAAUUGGUAUAAAGAAAUAAACUUUUGAUAUGGGACAAAAUGAAAGAGAUGAUGCCGGAUGCCACCAAUAUCUACGGGCUGCGAAAAUUAAUUAAACAAAAAACUCGAAAA
rnacentral:lncRNA from 1 species